GACGAACGCUGGCGGCGUGCUUAACACAUGCAAGUCGAACGGUGAAGCCCUUCGGGGUGGAUCAGUGGCGAACGGGUGAGUAACACGUGAGCAACCUGCCCCUGGCUCUGGGACAACCACUGGAAACGGUGGCUAAUACCGGAUACGACCCGCCUCGGCAUCGAGUGUGGGUGGAAAGUUUUUCGGCUGGGGAUGGGCUCGCGGCCUAUCAGCUUGUUGGUGAGGUGAAGGCUCACCAAGGCGACGACGGGUAGCCGGCCUGAGAGGGCGACCGGCCACACUGGGACUGAGACACGGCCCAGACUCCUACGGGAGGCAGCAGUGGGGAAUAUUGCACAGUGGGCGAAAGCCUGAUGCAGCGACGCCGCGUGAGGGAUGACGGCCUUCGGGUUGUAAACCUCUUUCAGCUCCGAAGAAGCGAAAGUGACGGUAGGAGCAGAAGAAGCACCGGCUAACUACGUG
rnacentral:rRNA from 1 species